UGACCUCAAAUCGGGUGAGACUACCCGCUGAACUUAAGC
rnacentral:rRNA from 5 species